AACGAACGCUGGCGGCAGGCUUAACACAUGCAAGUCGAGCGCCCCGCAAGGGGAGCGGCAGACGGGUGAGUAACGCGUGGGAAUCUACCCAUCUCUACGGAAUAACGCAUGGAAACGUGUGCUAAUACCGUAUACGUCCUUCGGGAGAAAGAUUUAUCGGAGAUGGAUGAGCCCGCGUUGGAUUAGCUAGUUGGUGGGGUAAAGGCCUACCAAGGCGACGAUCCAUAGCUGGUCUGAGAGGAUGAUCAGCCACACUGGGACUGAGACACGGCCCAGACUCCUACGGGAGGCAGCAGUGGGGAAUAUUGUACAAUGGUCGCAAGCCUGUUCCAGCCAUGCCGCGUGAGUGAUGAAGGCCCUAGGGUUGUAAAGCUCUUUCACCGGUGGAGAUAAUGACGGUAACCGGAGAAGAAGCCCCGGCUAACUUCGUGCCAGCCGCCGCCGUAAAAC
rnacentral:rRNA from 1 species